AGUUGACAGCCUGGAUACAGUUUCCUGUGUUACUUGUCCUAGUAACAGUGUCGUAAACCUUGACAGUGCAACGUGUGUGCAGUGUCAGGAGACCUUCUACGCUGCAACAGGAACUUGUCAUUGUCCAGUGGCACAGCUGAAGGGAGGGUUGUGCUUCAAAGAGUCCAGUAUCACUGCAGUGGGCACUGUACCAAGCUCCUUUUGGUUUGAAACAUACCUUGAUGCAAGUUUCCUGGCAUGUACAG